rnacentral:rRNA from 1 species
CCUACGGGUGGCAGCAGUGGGGAAUAUUGCACAAUGGGGGAAACCCUGUUGCAGCAACGCCGCGUGAGCGAUGAAGGCCUUCGGGUCGUAAAGCUCUGUCCUAGGGGGAGUAUAUUGACGGUACCUUAGGAGGAAGCCCCGGCUAACUACGUGCCAGCAGCCGCGGUAAUACGUGGGGGGCUAGGGUUAUCCGGAAUUACUGGGCGUAAAGGGUGCGUAGGCGGCCCUUCAAGUCAGAGGUGAAAGGCUACGGCUCAACCGUAGUAAGCCUUUGAAACGGUAUGGCUUGAGUGCAGGAGAGGACAGUGGAACUCCCAGUGUAGCGGUGAAAUGCGUAGAUAUUGGGGGGGACACCAGUUGCGAAGGCGGCUCUCUGGACUGUAACUGACGCUGAGGCACGAAAGCGUGGGGAGCGAACAGGAUUAGGUACCCUACUAGUC